ensembl:lncRNA
GUCCUCAACAAAUCUAGUAAUAUGAUCAGCAAAAUUAACAGCAUUAUUGCGACGGGUAGCUGUACUGAAUUAGCUGAACUAGGAUGGGACAUUUGUUUGUAUCAAUGCAGCAUGGACACAGAGCAUUGAAUACACAUUAAUACAACCAGUAAACAGUCAGCACACAAAGUCAGUUUCUGUACUGAAGAAUAGACCUCCUAAUUCUAACCUUAAGUUAUUUCUAAGCCAAGUGUAAGCACCCCUGCAGUGGGGAAGCUCAUUAGUGAUGCAGUUUGAAAAAGAAAAAGCGCUGAAUAAAUCUACUGUAUGCGCUUCAUCUGAUCCAUGUCCCGGCAGAAAUACGAUACUCACAAAUCUUCUUUUUUUUUUUUUUGCCGCCUGUCCCAUUUGGUUCUUUAGCCAUCAGAAUUGUUGUCUGAAGACCAACAAGGAUACCCAAUGGAUUUACUUUGCCAAAUGGAUCAUCGUGGCAUUGCCGUAUUGGUCGAUUUGGUCGAUCUUUGUUUUUAUUAUUUAUUAUAUUUUAUUUUCAGAUGUUACAGACGGGACAGACAUGAGUGAGAGAUAGGAAAGGGAGAAAGAAAGAGGAAGGAAAGGAAAAACAGAAGGGGAGAGGGACAGUGAGAAAGGGGGGGAGAAAAAAAAAUAAAAAUCUCCUGGAUCACCUGUUGAGAGAAGAAUAGAAAACAAGCAAAAAAAGACAAAAAAAAAACAAAAAAACAAAGCAACUCACAAAUCUUCUAGAGAAACAAUGUGACACCCGACUUUAAUAUCCCCUCAGUGACGGCGCAUGCAAGCGUGAGCCACAAGCCCCUACAACGCCACACACUUUUGCCAUUGAAACCUUUAGCGGCUAUUCUCGUCUCCAGCACCAUGUAAUUAAGUUCCUGUCGUUCUCCGCUCUGAAAACGUUGCUUAACAUAAAUGGAGGCCUAGCCUGUUAAUUAGUUCCAGUGUGCAGUCACGAGCCACUGCUCUUAAACGAUGAAACCAGCCCAUUCUCAAUCUGAAGCUUGGUGGUGGAGAAGGGAGGGCCAUAAAUGAAAGUGGAAC